GCGGUGGGGUAGGGGUAGGUCGGGGGUAGGGGAAGUGUGGGAAGUCCGCCGCUGUGUCGGCGUUAGGGUAGUGGCGUCUGGGUGGUCCCUGAGACCCGUGCCUGCACUUAGGCCUAGCGUCCGGCCCACCUGUACCUAGCGCCUGUCCCUUAGGGGGGUGGAAGGAAGGCCGAAGCCUCCAAACGGGUGUUGAUUCACUGUCGGUGUAUGUCGCGAGCUAUUCGCUCUACAAUUCCACUGCGGUCCAAACUAUGUGCACAGUAGGUCUCCCGUGUGUUCCCUGUACGGCUCUGUCAGUCGUGGUGUCACGGGUUUGGGUCCUCGCCUAAUACGCGAUAUGCGUCUGUAUUUCAACUUUAACAUUCAACAUUACUUAAACAUUUUAAAAGAGAGAGAAAGAAGAAGAAACUUAAAACAUAAGAUAUGCAUUUUGUGCCUG